GCAUCGAUAGCUCAGUGGCAGAGCGGUGGGGCGUUUACCCAUGCGGCCCGGGUUCGAUCCCUGGUUGAUGCA